GUUAUUUUCUUAUUGCAUUAAAGGUCAUAAUUCAAGUUAUUUUUAACUAGAUAUGAGUUUUAACAAUCACUUAAUUGCAUUACGUAGUAAAAGUGACCUAAAUCACUUAAAAAACACAGUCAAAUAUACUUGCGAUACUUGUGGAUUACCACUGAUCACAAGAUGCUCAGUCAGAAAUGUUGUCAUAAACCACAAGUUUUCCUCAAACUCGGUGGCAGGAUCGUAUUCACUCGAACGCACCCAACACAUCUCAAAUGUCGCUUGAGCUGCAUGCCAGUGAUGUGAACUGAAGCAAGUACAAGAGCUGUGCCUUUCGACUUCAAAAGCUAAAGGUAAGUUAACAUAAUUUAACCUCUGCCUACUUUGGUAAUUCGUCAGCAAUAUUGAAAACAAAAAUGUUUUAAAAGACCAAGACUUCUGGUUGAAGUUAUUAACUUGUUAGCAAACAAAGAUAGCACACUUGACGUCAGCUAAGACAGCUAACCUAGCACAAUAAUUCAAUUGAACCCAUGUCGACUGAGCUAACGUCUCUCAUAUGUUUUAAACUAGUGCCAGGUAAUACAAUGUCAGAAAGUGUCCCUAGUAGUCUUGUCUGUAAAAAGUAAGCAAGUUCAGAGGAUUCAUUUAGUGUGAAUGUUGGUGAUAUAAUAGCUAGUAGCUGCAGUUAGCUCUUAGCUAACUAGCUACUCUAUAGGUUAAGGAUCCCCCACCCUGAGUGAAGCUUCGACUUGAAGUUGAAGAUUUUUUUCUUUCUGAAAGAGUAACAACCCUUUUCUUUAAAUUACAGAUGGAGCAAUUGGACAAGACAACACAUUCACUUCUGGAAGCUGCACAGGCCAUUGCCUUGUUGGAGGCGCUCCCAAAAAUGUUCCCUUACCCAACCGCCCCUCCAAGAAAAGUCGGCAAGUGAGGCACUGUACCAUGUUCUUGAGCCAUCUGAGGACGCCAAUGUCUUCUUGCGUAACUGAUGACCUUGCCAAGGGACAUGCUUCUGGAAUCCCUCAUGAUACUGAUGGGAUGCUACUAUGUGUUCCAGUUAACAUAUUCCAAGUGUUUUGCUAGGCUAUUGUCCAUAAUACAAACAGAGGUACUCAAAGAUUUUAUUCACGAGAGUGACAAGACGACAACAUAUAAAAAGGUGCUUGCUGACUGUUAAGUAUUCAUCCAAACCUAGUCUGUCUCUCCCUCUCUCUUUGUCAACCUCCUACUGUAUGUCACUCUUCUGUAUGUCACUCCCCCCCCCCCCACACUCUUUCUC